AACAAACGCUGGCGGCGUGUCUUAAGCAUGCAAGUUGAGCGGCAAGGAGGAGAGAUCCUCCCUAGAGCAGCGGACUGGUGAGUAACGCGUGGGUAAUCUAUCUUAGGCAUGGGGAUAGUCACUAGAAAUAGUGGGUAAUACCGAAUAAGUUCCAUAAGGGGAGGACUUAUGGAAGAAAGGUGCUACGGCACUGGCCUUAGGUGAGCUCGCGUCCCAUUAGCUAGUUGGUGAGGUAAAGGCCCACCAAGGCGAUGAUGGGUAGCCGGCCUGAGAGGGUGUACGGCCACACUGGGACUGAGAUACGGCCCAGACUCCUACGGGAGGCAGCAGCUAAGAAUAUUCCGCAAUGGACGGAAGUCUGACGGAGCGACGCCGCGUGGAUGAAGAAGGCCGAAAGGUUGUAAAGUUCUUUUGCUAGGGGAGAAUAAGUGUGGGAGGGAAUGCCUGCACGAUGACAUGAAUCGAUGAAUAAGCCCCGGCUAACUACGUG
rnacentral:rRNA from 1 species